GCCUUCUCCAAAUCAAAGAACCCAAACUCUCUCUCAGCCUUUCUGCACAGGAGUUGYGCUCCAGCGCUCUAAUCAUUUUUGUGGCACUCCUCUGGACUCACUCCAACAGGUCUACAUCCUUCUUGAGUUCCCUGCCUCAUUCUUCACCUUCUGGUUCAAUUGUAGCAUCCAGAGACUGACAGAAACGCAGAAUCAUUCACGUUAGAAGAGGAGGCCGCCCUGCUCAGAGCAGAACCAAAUAGAUCCGGUUGCUUAGGCUUUUUCCAGCCCAGCUUCAAAUGCUUCAAGUGUUUCUUAGGAUGGAGAUUCCACAGCCUCUCUGGGCCAUUGUUCCAGUAUUGGACUGCCCUCUUGGUUUCCAAAGGACAUAAGUAAUAUGUGGACAUCACACAUAAAAAUAUCAGGAAUUGCAGCAUAAAGGCUGCCGCUCUAUGGCCGUGCACGUAAACUACAGCUUUAGUUCCAAUGGAGUAAACUAUACUGGAGGGGAUUCUGGAAAUAAGUGAGACAACAUCUGGGCUUCAUGUYCCAGAAUGAGUAUGAAUACCUUAAAAGAGGACAAAGGAAAAAUCUACUUUAUCAUGUGUAGGUACCUACCAGACUGAUAUCUUAUAUACAUUACAGAGAAUUUU